rnacentral:pre_miRNA from 1 species
UGAUGAUGAUGAUGAUGAUGAUGAUGAUGAUGAUGAUGAUGAUGAUGAUGAUGAUUUGAAUGAUGAUGAUGGUGAUAAUGAUGAUAAGCAACUUCAUCAUCACCAUCAUCAUCAUCAUCAUAU